CGGACGGGUGAGUAAUGCGUGACCAACCUGCCCCAUGCUCCAGAAUAGCUCUUGGAAACGGGUGGUAAUGCUGGAUGCUCCAACUUGACGCAUGUCUUGUUGGGAAAGUGUUUAGUGGCAUGGGAUGGGGUCGCGUCCUAUCAGCUUGUAGGCGGGGUAAUGGCCCACCUAGGCUUCGACGGGUAGCCGGCCUGAGAGGGCGGACGGCCACAUUGGGACUGAGAUACGGCCCAGACUCCUACGGGAGGCAGCAGUA
rnacentral:rRNA from 1 species